GACCGUGAACCGUGAGGAAACGUCUCCCCUUGCGGAUCCGGCGAAAUUCAAGCAAAUAAAGGAG
rnacentral:ncRNA from 1 species